rnacentral:rRNA from 1 species
AUUGAACGCUGGCGGCAUGCCUUACACAUGCAAGUCGAACGGUAACAGGUCUUCGGAUGCUGACGAGUGGCGAACGGGUGAGUAAUACAUCGGAACGUGCCUAGUAGUGGGGGAUAACUACUCGAAAGAGUGGCUAAUACCGCAUGAGAUCUACGGAUGAAAGCAGGGGAUCGCAGGACCUUGUGCUACUAGAGCGGCCGAUGGCAGAUUAGGUAGUUGGUGGGAUAAAAGCUUACCAAGCCGACGAUCUGUAGCUGGUCUGAGAGGACGAUCAGCCACACUGGGACUGAGAAACGGCCCAGACUCCUACGGGAGGCAGCAGUGGGGAAUUUUGGACAAUGGGCGCAAGCCUGAUCCAGCAAUGCCGCGUGCAGGAUGAAGGCCCUCGGGUUGUAAACUGCUUUUGUACGGAACGAAAAGCCCCGGGUUAAUACCCUGGGGUCAUGACGGUACCGUAAGAAUAAGCACCGGCUAACUACGUGCCAGCCGCCGCGGUAA